rnacentral:rRNA from 1 species
GACGAACGCUGGCGGCGUGCCUAAUACAUGCAAGUAGAACGCUGAAGGAGGAGCUUGCUUCUCUGGAUGAGUUGCGAACGGGUGAGUAACGCGUAGGUAACCUGCCUGGUAGCGGGGGAUAACUAUUGGAAACGAUAGCUAAUACCGCAUAAUAGUAGAUGUUGCAUGACAUUUGCUUAAAAGGUGCAAUUGCAUCACUACCAGAUGGACCUGCGUUGUAUUAGCUAGUUGGUGAGGUAACGGCUCACCAAGGCGACGAUACAUAGCCGACCUGAGAGGGUGAUCGGCCACACUGGGACUGAGACACGGCCCAGACUCCUACGGGAGGCAGCAGUAGGGAAUCUUCGGCAAGGGACGGAAGUCUGACCGAGCAACGCCGAGUGAGUGAAGAAGGUUUUCGGAUCGUAAAGCUCUGUUGUAAGAGAAGAACGAGUGUGAGAGUGGAAAGUUCACACUGUGACGGUAUCUUACCAGAAAGGGACGGCUAACUACGUG